UGCGGGGUAGAGCAGUCUGGUAGCUCGUCGGGCUCAUAACCCGGAGGUCGUAGGUUCAAAU
rnacentral:tRNA from 1 species